UACGAAGGGGGGCUAGCGUUGUUCGGAAUUACUGGGCGUAAAGCGCACGUAGGCGGAUCGAUCAGUCAGGGGGUGAAAUCCCAGAGCUCAACUCUGGAACUGCCUUUUGAUACUGUCGAUCUAGAGUAUGGAAGAGGUGAGUGGAAUUCCGAGUGUAGAGGUGAAAUUCGUAGAUAUUCGGAGGAACACCAGUGGCGAAGGCGGCUCACUGGUCCAUUACUGACGCUGAGGUGCGAAAAGCGUGGGGGAGCAAACAGG
rnacentral:rRNA from 1 species